GCUAAACCUUUAUUCCCAAUUUUUUUUCAAUUUCCAUCAAAAUUUCUCCGGUUUUUGAUUCCAAACCCUAACCGUGUCAUUUCAUUCCACAAACUUCUUUCCAGAGAAAGAAACUGCAGAUUCCUUUUCCAAGUGAAGAUGCAUAAACCAUUGACGAACAACAUGCUUGUUCUUUACAAUAUGGAAUCCGGACAACAUGCUCACGAAAUCCCCACUUAGUCCGACCACAUUAAGCUCCAAUCCAUCAAGGUUUGAACUAUUCUUACUCUCUUUUAUGCACUUUUGCUUUCUACCUUCUUCAUUAUAGUUGAUUAAAUUGCAAUCAGAGCUUUGGUAUUGAUAAAAGUUGUCUUCUAGGAGAGGUUGUAGGAUUUUUUUAGUUAUUGUUACAUUUUGUAUGGUACUCCAUCCCGCCCCCAAAAUUUCAAUUUUGUGGUGGAUUGACCUUGGUACUGUUCCAAUCUCAACUUGAUGCCAUAAUUUUAGGUUCUGGUGGUUUUUUUUUUUUUUUUUUUGCUUUGUUCAAUCAUGCACACCAAGUGUUCGAUAAAAUGUCGAAGUGAGAUUUCUUUGAACAACACAAACUUAUUUAAUAAACAAGCAUGUUUUGUACAGAAAGUGGUUCGUGUGUGCUGCAUCUUUCUUUGUUUUUUUAAACAGUAAGGCAAAGUUUACUUGGUUACUUGCUUGAUUUCUUGCUGCCACACAUAAAUGAAGUUUUGUAUUUAUUGAUCAAAACAAGUCUUUUGUUGUCAUGGUUUUAAGUCUUUUGACUUUUGGAUAUCUGAAGACUUUUAAUGUGUUCAUUCUCUUAUGCUAUUGUGGCAACUUCUUAUUGGGUUUAGUAUCAUAUAUGUAUUUUUCUAUUGCGGUAUGUUUUCAUUAGACUCCCUCAUCUUUGCCUUCACUCUUAUCUAAUUAAAUGACUUGGAAUGUUAGUGCAUUUCUUCCAGGUAAAUUUAUUUUCUUGCAACUUGUUGAAGAUUAGUAAAUUCAUGCAUGAUUUUAUCAUUUGAGUUCUAUCUACUCUUUACAUGACAUUUUGAUAUCUAGCUUGAAGCCUCCUAUGAACUGAUGUAGUUCAGUAAAAGUAUGCAUGCAUUAUUUGGUUCUUGUUAACGAGGAUGAUGGGAUAUUUCAAGAUGGUUUGGAAAAUGUUGAGAAUGAAGAGGAUAUUGUGAGAUUUUAAGACAAAAUAAAUGAAGAACUACAACCUUCAAUCAGGAGCCUUGAAGUUGAAAAACACAUAGUUGCUUGAAAUGUGAAAAGAAAAUGAAGACUACCAGCAAAGGAAAAAAUUUGAGCUAGAAGCUACGCGGAAAGAUUUUCACAGCCAACAUGCAAACUCUGAAGCUACGAUACCACGUAUUGUGAAAAAACUACUAUUAGAGUACUUUGGAAUCUUAGAGAUGAGUAGAAGGUUUACGUUACUUUUAUUCAUUGUAAUUGACAACUAUAUUUUAAUUACAUUCUUACUUUGAGGUUGGAUGUAUGUUAAAUUAUGAUAUAAGAUUAAUUAUUAUAUUUAUGUUAUUAUUGUAUUGGUGUAAUUGAGAUCCCAUUUCAUAUAAAUAGAAAUUUUAGUAGU
rnacentral:lncRNA from 1 species